UACGUAGGGGGCUAGCGUUGUCCGGAAUCAUUGGGCGUAAAGAGCGUGUAGGCGGUCCGGUAAGUCCGCUGUGAAAGUCGGGGGCUCAACCCUCGAAUGCCGGUGGAUACUGUCGGGCUUGAGUGCGGCAGAGGGGGGUGGAAUUCCGCGUGUAGCAGUGAAAUGCGUAGAGAUGCGGAGGAACACCGAUGGCGAAGGCAGCCCCCUGGGUCGACACUGACGCUCAGGCACGAAAGCGUGGGGAGCAAACAGG
rnacentral:rRNA from 1 species